GGGGCCGUAGCGCAGUCCGGUAGCGCGCCUCAGUCGCAUUGAGGAGGUCAGGGGUUCGAAUCCCCUCGGCUCCA
rnacentral:tRNA from 1 species